UAAUGUCUAUUUUUUUUUCUUUUUACUAUUUAAAGAAUUCUCACAAAUUAUCAAAAUGACCCAGAAGCGCAAUAGAAACAGAAGAAAGGGUGGGGGAAAAAAUGUAAUUGUAAUGUAUACAUGUAAGGAUAACCUGACCCCCUUGCUGUACAGUGGGAAAAUAAAAAAAAUUAUUAAUUAAAAAAAAAAAGAAUCUCAAUAGAAAAAUGGGAAAAGAGAGUUCAUAUACUGCUCACAGAAAAGGGAAUCCAAAUAGCCUUGAAAUAUGUGAAUAGCUGUAAAAACUCAAUCAUGAUAAGAGAAUGGUAAAUUAUAAUUGCAAUGGAAUACCAUUUUUAGACUGGUAAAUAUUAAAAAGAUUGACAACAUACUGCAUUGGUAACUAAGUUGGACAACAAUGUAAAUUACUAUGAUUUAUAUGACAGGCAACUUAGUAAUACAUACAAAGAUUAAAAAAAAAUACAUAUAUCACUUAUCCCUUGUCUUAGCAAUUCUGUUAAAGAAUUUUCUUCUGCAAACUCAAACACACAUGAAAUGACAUAUGUACAGUUUUUUUUAAUUGUAGCAUCAUUUUUAAUAGCAAAAGAUUAAAAACACCAAAAUGUCCAUCAGUAGGGAACCAGUUAAAUACAUAAUAUAGAGGCAUACAAUGGAAGAGGAAAAUAAGGGUCAAUGUUUUUGUUUUAUGUACUGAUGUCCAAGAUACAGAGGGUGAAAAAAGAAAUGAGCCAAAGAGUUCAUGCUACUAUUUGAAGAAAAAACAUAAAACCAAAACAACAACAAAAUGCUUCUGUGUGUAUUGUUUCUCUAGAUGUAUAUUAAAAAACUACAUAGUAAUUUACUUUAGGGAGGAGAACCGGGUGCUAGGGUUAGAGGUAGGGAGGGAAAUUCGUUUUAGACCCUUUUUGCAUAUUCUUGAAUGUUGCAGGAUUAGUAUUUAUAACCUUUAGAUUGAAUUAAAUUUCAAGAAAAACAGGAAGUAUUCAACUGUGUUUUUAUAACCUCAAUGAAAAUGGUUCAUUGGAAUGGUUCAAAUGGAGUAGGUUGAGAGGACAAUAGGAGGUUAGAAAUCUGAAAAGAGCACUUAACAUAAUUAUAGAAAAAUACAUAUUUUUAACAAGUUUGUGAUUGAGGUUCUACAUGAGGGCUACCUCUGUUUUUAAGAUAGGUAAUAGAUAAAUAUUGACAGUAAGAUAAGUAUAGAUAAUGGAUAAAGAUGGAUGAUAUUCCAAUAUGUUUCCAUGUUGAGAGAUGAAACUCUAUUUUUUUUUUAAUGAUAGGAAUUAGAUAAAGUAGUUUCUAUCUAUUAAGGCCACUCCUUCUUGAUGAUAAUCAGAACAUUUUAGAUAUGUAUAACUAUUUCUGUAAAGAACGAGGGUAAGGAGGAUAACUGAAAGAUCAGACAAAGCUUCAUGGUCAGGAGAGAAGGCAAUCCUGGUGAGGCCAGCAGUAUGGUAUUCUAUCUCUACUCUGUUGUUUGUGCUAUUUUGAGAUUCCAGCAGUAUUUAUAACAUGUGCUAGUUAGGAGAGUAAAUGGAUGAAGGAGAGACCGAAGACAUUCUGAAGGUCUAACAAAACAAAUGGAAUACAGUUAUCUUGUUAAAAAGAGAAGAGGAGAAAAGUUAUGAAAUAUUUCUAUUCAAGACCUGUAAUUAUAUAGAGAAUUAUUUUGCUUUUUACUCCAAUAAAUAUUCUACUUUUGUAAUUUUUCUGUAACUCUUGGGAAAUUUUAUUUUCCUUAUUCCAUCUACUAUCUAUUCACACCCAACCCAAGCCAUGACCACCCAUACCUAAGUGUCUUCUCCACUCCUGUCCCUUUUUAAUCUGCUAUUCCAUAGCUUUCUACUUCCAUCAUGUGAAAAUUAUUCCAUUUUCUCACCUAUGGGAUCUCCACUUUCUUCUACUGUACUUCAUUUUCAGAACUCUCAAGUGACAACAGAGAUAGUUGGCUGGAGUUUUAUAUAUUGUUUUUGGUAGAUUGAUGAGUAGACAUUCUAGCACCUAGGAUAGCACCUGUUAACUGAACAGAGUCAGUACUUGUUAUUUAAAAUGGUGAGUAAUAGAAAGAGAGCAGCUAAGAUGGUGAAGUAAAAAGACCCUCCUCUCACAAGCACACCAAAAUCACAAAUAUCUGAAGAACAACCAUCAAUAAAAAAGACUGGAGACUACCAGAAAGGAUCUUCUAUAGCUAAAGACAUAAAAAUGGAAUCACAAUGAGACUAAGGGGUGUAUUUGUAAUAUAACCAAAUCUCAUGCCCCCCCCCACAGUGGGCACAUUGUGACACAGGGUAAAAAAAGUAAUUUGAUAGGAUCCUGUGUCUGACCUGACUUCUGGUCUUGGAGAAUCUCCUGGAGAGGUAAGGGGCAGCUGCAGCUCACCCUGGGAACAUGGACAGUAGUGGCAGACAUAGUGGGAGACAUUGGUGGUAGCUGAGGCUGACGUCUUAGCUCAUUUUCUCCAAGACCUGACCCCACCCAAGAGCCCUCAGGCCACAGUGUUGGGACACCUCAGGCCAAACUAACUGGGAAGGGACACAGCCCCACCCAUCAGCAGCAGACUGUCUAAAGACUAAAGGGCCCACAACUGCCGCUGGGCUUGCCCCUAGACAAGGCUCAGCCCACCAGAGGGCCAAGACCCAGCUCCACCCAGGCACUGCAUCCUCCCAUGAGAAAGUCCCACGAGGAAGCCAAACAAGCCUCAUGACUAGCCUCAUCCACCAGGGGGCAGACACCAAAAGCAAGAAAACUAUGAUCUUGCAACAUAGGACUGACCCUACCCUGGGAACAGCUGGCCUGGCUUGGCCCACUAGCAGGCCAAUGCAACCUUUAGGACACCCCAGACCUCACACCCAACUGUGUCAGGAGCAAACACCCCUGCCCCCACCUGCCAAGUGAUCUGAAACUACCUCUGGGACCCUUGGUCCUGUAGCCAGACUCUAGGUGCCAGUUCAUCUGCCUGCCGAUAAACUGGCACUAACUCCGAUGCUACCAGUUACUUUACCUACCAGUGAGUGGGCAACAACCCUGGAGUCUUCAGGACCCUGACUCCACCCAGAUAUCCAGAGAAGAAAUGAUG
rnacentral:lncRNA from 1 species